UUUUGUUCACCAGGAAGAGAACUGCAGCCAGACUGUCCCGUUUGAGUCCGGCCAUCUGCACCAGCUGGUUGGCAAACCCUCUGCCAACCGUUUGAUGUCGACGAGGAGCUCAGCGACGCACUCACGACAGUGUCCCAGCUGUAUGUAUCAGCGACUGCUCUGCCCAGAAUAAGUCUGACUAUUUUGGCUCGCUCUGAUGUCACGCUGGCCUGUGGGGCAUGCAGAGCCGUCUAAGGGAAAUAUGACAGAUGCCUCUGGAUGUCUAUGAGCUUAAAUCCUCCCCUGCCUUCCCUCCAGCGUCUUAUACUGAUGUGUAAUGCUGACCCACUUUAUUUGACGGGGAAGAAGGAAGCAACGACUGAGGGAAAGGAACGAUGGAAGGAAGGACAUCAGAGCUCUCCUCCUCCUCUUCCUCUUUUCGCUCUCUCUCCCUGCUGCUCAUGUCCCACAGUGCUGUGU